GAUGAACGCUGGCGGCGUGCCUAAUACAUGCAAGUCGAGCGAACGGACUAGAAGCUUGCUUCUCUGAUGUUAGCGGCGGACGGGUGAGUAACACGUGGAUAACCUACCUAUAAGACUGGGAUAACUUCGGGAAACCGUAGCUAAUACCGGAUAAUAUUUUGAACCGCAUGGUUCAAAAGUGAAAGACGGUCUUGCUGUCACUUAUAGAUGGAUCCGCGCUGCAUUAGCUAGUUGGUAAGGUAACGGCCUACCAAGGCAACGAUGCAUAGCCGACCUGAGAGGGUGAUCGGCCACACUGGAACUGAGACACGGUCCAGACUCCUACGGGAGGCAGCAGUAGGGAAUCUUCCGCAAUGGGCGAAAGCCUGACGGAGCAACGCCGCGUGAGUGAUGAAGGUCUUCGGAUCGUAAAACUCUGUUAUUAGGGAAGAACAUAUGUGUAAGUAACUGUGCACAUCUUGACGGUACCUAAUCAGAAAGCCACGGCUAACUACGUG
rnacentral:rRNA from 1 species